rnacentral:antisense_RNA from 1 species
ACAACGUUCUUGAGUCAUUGGCAUACAUAUCAAACCACGACCAUGCGUUGCCAUAAAGUUAAUAGCUUGCGGCGUUACCAUUUCAGCCGCCAUGAUG